CCCUAGUAACGGCGAGUGAAGCGGCAACAGCUCAAAUUUGAAAUCUGGCCCUCGUGGUCCGAGUUGUAAUUUGUAGAGGAUGCUUUUGGUUAGGUGCCUUCCGAGUUCCCUGGAACGGGACGCCAUAGAGGGUGAGAGCCCCGUCUGGUUGGACACCGAGCCUCUGUAAAGCUCCUUCGACGAGUCGAGUAGUUUGGGAAUGCUGCUCUAAAUGGGAGGUAUAUGUCUUCUAAAGCUAAAUAUUGGCCAGAGACCGAUAGCGCACAAGUAGAGUGAUCGAAAGAUGAAAAGCACUUUGAAAAGAGGGUUAAAAAGUACGUGAAAUUGUUGAAAGGGAAGCGCUUGUGACCAGACUUGGGCCCGGUCAAUCAUCCAGGGUUCUCCCUGGUGCACUUGGCCGGCCCAGGCCAGCAUCAGUUUGUCGCGGGGGAUAAAGACGUUGGGAAUGUGGCUCCUCCGGGAGUGUUAUAGCCCUUCGUGUAAUACCCUGCUUCGGACUGAGGUUCGCGCAUCUGCAAGGAUGCUGGCGUAAUGGUCAUCAGCGACCCGUCUUGAAACACGGACCAAGGAGUCGUCUUCGUAUGCGAGUGUUCGGGUGUCAAACCCCUACGCGUAAUGAAAGUGAACGCAGGUGAGAGCUUCGGCGCAUCAUCGACCGAUCCUGAUGUUCUCGGAUGGAUUUGAGUAAGAGCAUACGGGGCCGGACCCGAAAGAAGGUGAACUAUGCCUGUAUAGGGUGAAGCCAGAGGAAACUCUGGUGGAGGCUCGCAGCGGUUCUGACGUGCAAAUCGAUCGUCAAAUAUGGGCAUGGGGGCGAAAGACUAAUCGAACCUUCUAGUAGCUGGUUUCCGCCG
rnacentral:rRNA from 1 species